rnacentral:rRNA from 1 species
AGAGUUUGAUCCUGGCUCAGAACGAACGCUGGCGGCAGGCUUAACACAUGCAAGUCGAACGGGCUCUUCGGAGCUAGUGGCAGACGGGUGAGUAACGCGUGGGAACCUACCUAUAAGUACGGAACAACACAGAGAAAUUUGUGCUAAUACCGUAUGUAGUCUUCGGAUUAAAGAUUUAUCGCUUAUAGAUGGGCCCGCGUUAGAUUAGCUAGUUGGUGAGGUAAUGGCUCACCAAGGCGACGAUCUAUAGCUGGUCUGAGAGGAUGAUCAGCCACACUGGGACUGAGACACGGCCCAGACUCCUACGGGAGGCAGCAGUGAGGAAUAUUGGACAAUGGGGGCAACCCUGAUCCAGCCAUGCCGCGUGAGUGAUGACGGCCUUAGGGUUGUAAAGCUCUUUCGCUAGGGAAGAUAAUGACGGUACCUAGUAAAGAAGCCCCGGCUAACUUCGUGCCAGCAGCCGCGGUAAUACGAAGGGGGCUAGCGUUGUUCGGAAUCACUGGGCGUAAAGCGCGCGUAGGCGGACUUUUAAGUCAGGGGUGAAAUCCCGGGGCUCAACCUCGGAACUGCCUUUGAUACUGGAAGUCUUGAGUUCGAGAGAGGUGAGUGGAAUACCGAGUGUAGAGGUGAAAUUCGUAGAU